UACGUAGGGGGCAAGCGUUGUCCGGAUUUAUUGGGCGUAAAGAGCGUGUAGGCGGCCUUACAGGUCAGCUGUGAAAACUCGAGGCUCAACCUCGAGAUGUCGGCGGAAACCGUCUGGCUAGAGUCCGGAAGAGGAGAGUGGAAUUCCUGGUGUAGCGGUGAAAUGCGCAGAUAUCAGGAAGAACACCCGUGGCUAAGGCGGCUCUCUAGUACGGUACUGACGCUGAGACGCGAAAGCGUGGGGAGCGAACAGG
rnacentral:rRNA from 1 species